AACGAACGCUGGCGGCACGCCUAACACAUGCAAGUCGAACGAAGCUGGUAGCUUGCUAUCAGACUGAGUGGCAGACGGGUGAGUAACACGUGGGUAUCUGCCUAUUGGUGGGGAAUAACUCUUGGAAACGAGAGCUAAUACCGCAUAAGCCCUGAGGGGGAAAGAUUUAUCGCCAAUAGAAGAGCCCGCGUUAGAUUAGCUAGUUGGUAGGGUAAUGGCCUACCAAGGCUACGAUCUAUAGCUGGUCUGAGAGGAUGAUCAGCCACACUGGGACUGGGACACGGCCCAGACUCCUACGGGAGGCAGCGGUGGGGAAUAUUGGACAAUGGGGGCAACCCUGAUCCAGCGAUGCCGCGUGAGUGAAGAAGGCCUUAGGGUUGUAAAGCUCUUUCGGUGGGGAAGAUGAUGACGGUACCCACAAAAGAAGUACCGGCUAACUCUGUGCCAGCAGCCGCGGUAAUACAGAGGGUACAAGCGUUGUUCGGAAUUAUUGGGCGU
rnacentral:rRNA from 1 species